GAACGCAAGUUGCGCCCAAGGCCAUCAGGCUAAGGGCACGCCUGCCUGGGCGUCGUGUGCUGCAUCUCUCCUNCCAAUGCUUGCCCAGCAUAUAGCUAGGUUAGCAUUGUGCGGAUGAAAUAUUGGCCCCUUGUGCUUAGGUGCGGUGGGUCUAAGGAUUAGUAUUUUGA
rnacentral:rRNA from 1 species